GACGAACGCUGGCGGCGUGCUUAACACAUGCAAGUCGACAAGAGUGGCGAACGGGUGAGUAACGCGUGAGUAACUGCCCCCCUCUCUGGGAUAACAGUUGGAAACGGCUGCUAAUACCGGAUAGUGUGGGAUGACUCGCGUCCUAUCAGCUUGUUGGUGGGGUAGUGGCCUACCAAGGCGACGCCGGGUGGCCGGCCUGAGAGGGCGACCGGCCACAGUGGGCUGAGAUACCGACCAAACUCCUACGGGAGGCAGCAUGGAGGAAUAUUGCACGAGGGGGGAAACCCUGAUGCAGCAACGCCGCGUGCGGGAUGACGGCCUUCGGGUUGUACACCGCUUUCAGCCAUGACGCGGUAGUGGCAGAAGAAGCACCGGCUAACUACGUGCCAGCAGCCGCGGUAAUUC
rnacentral:rRNA from 1 species